ACUGAACCGCUCCCACUUGAAUUCUCUCAGGAAGAUCCUGAACACUACUUAGCAAGAUAAAGUAUCAGAUACUAAGGUCCUCUUUAGAGCUUAACUGCCAAGCAUUCAACUUCUAUGGCAAACAGACCAAGGCCAAUGGGCUGGUCAUAUAGUUUGUUUGUUUGUUUGUUUUUUUACAUUUAUGUAUUUAUGUAUUUAUUUAUUUUUUAUUUAUUUAUUUAAUAGCCUUUUAUUUACAGGUUAUAUGCAUGGGUAACUUUACAGCAUUAACAAUUGCCAAACCUCUUGUUCCAAUUUUUCACCUCUUACCCCCCCCCACCCUUCCCCUAGAUGGCAGGAUGACCAGUAGAUGUUAAAUAUAUUAAAAUAUAACUUAGAUACACAAUAAGUAUACAGGUCAUAUAGUUUGAAUGUCAAACACAUCCUUACCAAAAAGACUAUUUUGGGAAGAACUCCUACAUAGUAAGAGGUUACAAGGAGUCAGAAGAAGUGGCAUUAAGAUACUCAAGGUAUCUUUGAGAAGAAUUUUCUCACAUAGACUGUGAGACAUGGGAAAUAUCUUAGUAUUGUUCAACAUGUCAUGCCCACAUCAAAGAAUGCUUUGUAGUCCACAAGCAACAUAAAAUCAUGGAAGCACAAAGGAAAUGUGAGCUUGCAAAUCUAGAAGCACCUCUGCUCUAAAUGUUCUAAUGGAUCAUUUGUGCCCAUCUGUGGUAGUGACUUUCAGACUUGUAUUGAUGAGAUCAGCCUCAGCCAAAUACAGAGUAUCCUGAUUCCAACAUCGUGAUGUCAUUGGUCUUCAGAAAACAAGGAGGAACAAUAGCCUAAGUAAAAAAAAAAAAAAAAAAGAAUAAAGCCACUAUGGAAGAACACAGAUCUUGAAAGGGAAUUGCCCCUUUCCUAUGGAAUGGAGGUGGGAAGUUAUUGCCAAUUAUGAGAAGCUGAACUUUUCUUUUGGAAUAAAGAGAAGUGCAAAAGAUGUCAAAGUUAUUGCCAAUUAUGAGAAGCUGAAUUCUUCUUUUGGAAUAAAGAGAAGUGCAAAAGAUGUCAUCAGCAAGGCAAAGGGGCUUCAGAAACUGGGUAUUUAAAACUUUUGGUGACGUGAUUUCAGUUUCUGCCAGAUAGUUUUUUAUUCCAC
rnacentral:lncRNA from 1 species